rnacentral:SRP_RNA from 1 species
UAUCGGUCCUCCCGCAAUGACUUGCCGUAAACCCCGCCAGGCCCGGAAGGGAGCAACGGUAGCGGUUUAGUUGUGUGCCGGGAUGUGGCUGGUAAGG